GGGAAUUGCAGCAGGCUGUCUGGAAAGUGUAAGCUCGUGUUAGGAAAAAGUUGCUUUCUAGGGAAACUACAGCAAGAAGAAGAACCAGAGCCAUAUGGAGUGAAAAAGCUUAGGCUGAGAUUGUUUCAUCAGAUUGGACUGCAGCUGCAUAGAACAUGCUGUACUUCCCCAAGCUCCUCAGGAAUCCAGAUGAAACCACUGCUUGCUUCAGGUAUACUGUGUUUACAAGGAGUGAGCAGCCAAACUAGGGGCAGCCAAAUAGUUCUGGAACACAACAAAGAAGCUAUAAAGCCACCUAGAUCAGAGUCCUCUUCCUCAACAAGUGACAGACACAAAACCCUUUCCUCUUUAUGGGAGCAGAAAUUUUAGGGCACCAGGUUUCAUCAUUUGAAAAGCAAUAAAGAAGGAAGAAGAAGGGUGCCUAGAAUGAAG
rnacentral:lncRNA from 1 species